UUCCUAUUAGCCGCACCUGGCGUCUGGCAGGCUCUCCGCAGGCUGUGGGCUGAAUUGGGAGGGGAGCGGCACUUACGUCUAUAAUUGUUGCAAGCCAUAAAGAGGAACCGAAACGAUUUCUGGAGAGAUGACAGACUAAUACAAGCCACAGUGGGUCCUCCGGUGUAAGGCUUGAGAGAAGAGUGGCCUGUCCGCCGCGAGACCUACUGAAGGGGACAAGACACUGCCCUCUUGGAACAGGAUCACAGCAGCUCCCCACCUCCAUUCUUUGUAAGCUCUGCGCACGGCUCGCCAAUCCGAAAUCUCACUAUAGGGCAGGGUCCCAGGAGCAGAACCUCCCCACCCAACAGAAAAUUCAAGAAUGCACCUCCCAGGAGGCCCUGCGAAGCGGUACACUUAAAGACACCAGACUAUCCCCUGCAAGUCUAACAAUCUUUAAAACCUAGCGGGUUGGUAGUGUUUUCGUGAGCACACGCAGUAAAAAAUUUAAAAUAAAUAAAAUAAAAUGGGAUAUCUGCAAUUCAUGCUCGCAGGCCUCGCAGGCCUCAGGCCUGCACGCCCUGCACCCCCGCCCUGCAGGACGCCCGCUCAAAACCCAGCAGCGAAUCCCCCAGGCUGUGCCCGCCCAGCGUGCCCCGCAGUGUCACUGCGCAUGGAAUGAACCGUCACCCCGCGCGGCUGGCGAUGCCGCUGCCCCGAGGAAGAGCGAAACAGCCGGCGGCCGAAGCAGGCGCGGGCCACGCACGGUGACCCCAGGUCCCCGACGCGCAGGCGCCAGGACGCGCGUCUGGCAGACGCUGGAGGCCACAGCGCGGCCGGACCGCCAGGUCCCGGCCCGGGCUCACGGGUCCCGGGACAGAGGCCUGGCCUGUCCGGAAGGUCGCGCCGCCGCGGGGGCCGGGCGGAGUGCGCUGGGGGUUGGCGGGGGCGGCCUCGUGGGGCGCCGUGGGGCCGGGCAGGUCCCCAGGGGGUCGGCGGGCGCGGGCGCGCACUCACCCUCGC